rnacentral:rRNA from 1 species
UACAGAGGGUGCGAGCGUUGUUCGGAAUUACUGGGCGUAAAGGGUGCGUAGGUGGUUUGUUAAGUCUGCUGUGAAAUCCCCGGGCUCAACCUGGGAAUGGCAGUGGAUACUGGCAAGCUAGAGUGCGGUAGAGGGUAGUGGAAUUCCCGGUGUAGCAGUGAAAUGCGUAGAGAUCGGGAGGAACACCAGUGGCGAAGGCGGCUACCUGGACCAGCACUGACACUGAAGCACGAAAGCGUGGGGAGCAAACAGG